rnacentral:rRNA from 1 species
AUCUAUACUGUGAAACUGCGAAUGGCUCAUUAAAUCAGUUAUCGUUUAUUUGAUAGUACCUUACUACUUGGAUAACCGUGGUAAUUCUAGAGCUAAUACAUGCUAAAAACCGCGACUUCGGAAGCGGUGUAUUUAUUAGAUAAAAAACCAAUGCCCUUCGGGGCUCCUUGGUGAUUCAUGAUAACUUAACGAAUCGCAUGGCCUUGCGCCGGCGAUGGUUCAUUCAAAUUUCUGCCCUAUCAACUUUCGAUGGUAGGAUAGUGGCCUACCAUGGUAUCAACGGGUAACGGGGAAUUAGGGUUCUAUUCCGGAGAGGGAGCCUGAGAAACGGCUACCACAUCCAAGGAAGGCAGCAGGCGCGCAAAUUACCCAAUCCCGACACGGGGAGGUAGUGACAAUAAAUACUGAUACAGGGCUCUUUUGGGUCUUGUAAUUGGAAUGAGUACAAUUUAAAUACCUUAACGAGGAACAAUUGGAGGGCAAGUCUGGUGCCAGCAGCCGCGGUAAUUCCAGCUCCAAUAGCGUAUAUUAAAGUUGUUGCAGUUAAAAAGCUCGUAGUUGAACCUUGGGCCUGGCUGGCCGGUCCGCCUCACCGCGUGUACUGGUCCGGCCGGGCCUUUCCUUCUGGGGAUCCGCAUGCCCUUCACUGGGUGUGUCGGGGAACCAGGACUUUUACUUUGAAAAAAUUAGAGUGUUCAAAGCAGGCCUUUGCUCGAAUACAUUAGCAUGGAAUAAUAGAAUAGGACGUGCGGUCCUAUUUUGUUGGUUUCUAGGACCGCCGUAAUGAUUAAUAGGGAUAGUCGGGGGCAUCAGUAUUCAAUUGUCAGAGGUGAAAUUCUUGGAUUUAUUGAAGACUAACUACUGCGAAAGCAUUUGCCAAGGAUGUUUUCAUUAAUCAGUGAACGAAAGUUAGGGGAUCGAAGACGAUCAGAUACCGUCGUAGUCUUAACCGUAAACUAUGCCGACUAGGGAUCGGGCGAUGUUAUUCUUUUGACUCGCUCGGCACCUUACGAGAAAUCAAAGUCU